GGGAAUGUGGCUUGGUGGUAGAGCACUUGCCUGGCAAGCAUGAAGCCCUGGGCUUGAUUCCUCAGUACCA
rnacentral:tRNA from 1 species